rnacentral:piRNA from 1 species
UUCAAGGAUGACCAAAUGCUUACCC